rnacentral:lncRNA from 1 species
AAAAAACAGAAGUUCCAACUAAUGAUGCCAACCUCUCAUUUAAAGGUAAAGACAUUGUUUGCCAUCAACUUGUUUUUAAAAAUCAUAUAGUUUCUUCGUUUAUUUGUUAAGCAAAGUUCGGCCCCACGAGAAAUCGUUAAAAUAUAUACAUUAUCAACUGAUUUACCAUAGACAGUAUGUGUAAAGUGUUAUUCAAAAAGCGG